rnacentral:rRNA from 1 species
CUUGAACGCUGGCGGCAGGCCUAACACAUGCAAGUCGAACGAGUGGCGGACGGGUGAGUAAUGUCUGGGAACCUGCCCGAUGGAGGGGGAUACCUACUGGACACGGUCGCUAAUCCCGCAUACCCUCGGAUGUGCCCAUAUGGGAUUAGCUAGUAGGUGGGGUAACGGCUCACCUAGGCGACGAUCCCUAGCUGGUCUGAGAGGAUGACCAGCCACACUGUAACUGGGACACGUUCCAGACUCCUACGGGAGGCAUCAGUGGUGAAUAUUGCACAAUGGGCGCAAGCCUGAUACAGCCAUGCCGCGUGUAUGAAGAAGGCCUUCGGGUUGUAAAGGACUUUCAGCGGGGAGGCGUUACCCGCAGAAGAAGCACCGGCUAACUCCGGGACAGCAGCCGCGGUAAUUC